rnacentral:SRP_RNA from 1 species
GCUGAGCUUAGUAACGUGAGCUUGUGACCCAAGUGGGAGCAUUAAGGUGAUGGAACAAGAUUUCAGCUCUAUGGGUCCGGCCUGUGGUUGGCAACAUGCAAGCUAGCCCUCUCCAAGUUGAGAGUUGGUCCAUGUGGGUUGGGCGAAGGCCUGAUCUUCAUGGGCCUUAGAGUGAAGGAGACCGCGUGAGGCUGGUUUCAUAGAGCAACGAAAAAUUUCUCCCGCUCUUGUCAGUGGAAGGAUUACGAGCGUGCGCCUCCAGGGCCCAUUAGCACUCAGUUGGCUCAUUCUCCAAUGGACCAUCACUUUU